GGAAGGGUAGCUUGCCACUGAACUAACGGCGGACGGGUGAGUAAUGCUUAGGAAUCUGCCUAUUAGUCGGGGGACAACGUUUCGAAAGGAACGCUAAUACCGCAUACGUCCUACGGGAGAAAGCAGGGGGAUCAUUUGACCUUGUGCUAAUAGAUGAGCCUAAGUCGGAUUAGCUAGUUGGUGGGGUAAAGGCCUACCAAGGCGACGAUCUGUAGCGGGUCUGAGAGGAUGAUCCGCCACACUGGGACUGAGACACGGCCCAGACUCCUACGGGAGGCAGCAGUGGGGAAUAUUGGACAAUGGGCGCAAGCCUGAUCCAGCCAUGCCGCGUGUGUGAAGAAGGCCUUAUGGUUGUAAAGCACUUUAAGCGAGGAGGAGGAGCUUCAGGUUAAUACCCUGGAUGCUUGGACGUUACUCGCAGAAUAAGCACCGGCUAACUCUGUGCCAGCAGCCGCGGUAAUACAGAGGGUGCAAGCGUUAAUCGGAUUUACUGGGCGUAAAGCGUGCGUAGGCGGCUAAUUAAGUCAAAUGUGAAAUCCCCGAGCUUAACCUGGGAAUUGCAUUCGAUACUGGUUAGCUAGAGUAUGGGAGAGGAUGGGUAGCGACAUUCCACGGUGUUAGCGGGUUGAACAUUGCCGUAGAACGAUCCUGGAGGGACAUUACCGAUGGCGAACGGCGGCCCUUCUGGCCUUAAUACUGACCGCCUGGGGUUCGAAAGCCUUGGGGGGCCACCCGGGUUUGCUUCCCUGGUUCUCCAUGCCGGACGU
rnacentral:rRNA from 1 species